UACCUAUCUGUGGUGCAGUGGUAGCGCCUAUGAUAUAUAGUAUAUCAUAUAGUCCUAGGUUCGAGUCCCGGUCGGGGUAA